UUUGUUCUCUGUAGCUUUUGUUCCCUGAAGGCUUUCUGUAGAGCUUUGGAGGGUGAGAAUGAAAAUGGCAGCCUCCCAAUCUUCAGUCCUGAGGAGUCAAGAGUGCUCCCCAAGAAGCCACUCCUCAGUGUGCCCUCAAAGAAAAGGAGUCAACCUCUCCCGUCUCCCUGGUUUCUAGCUGCACUCCAUGCUCACCCGGCCUGUGACUGAGCGUCUCUAUCUCUGAUGCACAGCCCCCUUUGGAGUCUCCAAACCCAGCAGAUUCCUGCAGUGCACUCCCACACAGCUCCUCCUGGAGGAAGAAGAUUGUUCACUUCCUUUGGUAUUUCUAGAACUCAACUGCAGGAAGACAACUAUGCUUGAGGAUGCCAGUAAAGCAAGGUGAGAAAGUAACAUAGAAGAAAAUAAGAGUCACAAAUAAGAAUAGUG
rnacentral:lncRNA from 1 species